rfam:Takifugu rubripes genomic scaffold, scaffold_2145
GUUUACGGCCAUACCACCCUGAGAACGUCCGAUCUCGGAAGCUAAGCAGGAUCGGGCCUGGUUAGUACUUGGAUGGGAGACCGCCUGGGAAUACCAAGUGCUGUAAGCU